rnacentral:rRNA from 1 species
UGAAGAGUUUGAUCCUGGCUCAGAUUGAACGCUGGCGGCAUGCCUUACACAUGCAAGUCGAACGGCAGCACGGGGGCAACCCUGGUGGCGAGUGGCGAACGGGUGAGUAAUACAUCGGAACGUGUCCUGUAGUGGGGGAUAGCCCGGCGAAAGCCGGAUUAAUACCGCAUACGCUCUACGGAGGAAAGGGGGGGAUCUUAGGACCUCUCGCUACAGGGGCGGCCGAUGGCAGAUUAGCUAGUUGGUGGGGUAAAGGCCUACCAAGGCGACGAUCUGUAGCUGGUCUGAGAGGACGACCAGCCACACUGGGACUGAGACACGGCCCAGACUCCUACGGGAGGCAGCAGUGGGGAAUUUUGGACAAUGGGGGCAACCCUGAUCCAGCAAUGCCGCGUGUGUGAAGAAGGCCUUCGGGUUGUAAAGCACUUUUGUCCGGAAAGAAAACCGCCGCCCUAAUAUGGUGGUGGGAUGACGGUACCGGAAGAAUAAGCACCGGCUAACUACGUGCCAGCAGCCGCGGUAAUACGUAGGGUGCAAGCGUUAAUCGGAAUUACUGGGCGUAAAGCGUGCGCAGGCGG